rnacentral:tRNA from 1 species
GCGAGAGUGGCGGAACUGGCAGACGCGCCAGACUUAGGAUCUGGUGUCCUUCGGACGUGUGGGUUCGAGUCCCUCCUCUCGCACCC